CUUUAUCCUGUGGGGUCUACUCCCUGUCUCUCUGAGGAGGAAAAAGGCAACAGUUGAUACUGCCGUGAAGCUGUAAGCCUGAAAGAUGGAGGAAUGGAAACUUCAAUGUCUUUAACGAUGCUAAUUCAAGCUUGUGGACCUGUGAACCAUUUUUGCAACCAAAAGCUUAUGAAAUGCAUUGCAGUGGGCUGAGUAGUGUCCAUCAUGUCUACAGUUUAGCAGGAGAAAGCAAAGGAACAAGAGAGUAGAAGAUAACUUCAAUGGGGAAAGCAACUAGCCUUUGCACAAGUGGCUUUUAGGCCUGAGCAUAUGAAUUGGACAUAUUCAUUUCCUCAAACUGUAUAUUUUCAUGGCUCUUUCCUCGAUGGCUUACAUGUAUGUGUUGGAAUCAGUUCUGUCUUAUCAUCAUUGCCAUGGUUACCUUAUCAUUAUUGUAUGUAUGUGUUGCUGUAUUACUAUUGCAGAUAUCCUACCAAAGUUCCCUAAAGCAAAAUGAUGCCAGAACUUACUCUGCACACAUCCCAAACUACUAAGCAUUUGUAUCUUUUAUGAUUUCUUUCCCAGCUAAAACAAAGUUGGCUUGAACAUCUCUGCUGAAAUAAAGCUGUUUGCCCUUUCUGGGUAGAGAACAAAUUACUCCAUACAUCAUCUUUACCAUAAGCCAAUUCCUUACAUCAAAUGCAAAAACCUCCUCCUGCUUAACUGGACUCCUCAGCAGCCUGAUUUGUCUUUACUUCCAUUACUACAUUGCUAAAAAUCACAAGAUAGUUGAUGUCUGCAGCAGGGAAGACACGUCAGCCUCUGAAACGAGGCUGUCAUGAUACAGCAAACGCAGAGGUCAUUAUAGCAGGGUAGGGCACAUCUCAAAGGCCAGGACAGAGAAAAGUUUGAAUUUGGGAUGAAAAAUAUCUUUGCUGGGGGCACGAUGCCACAGGGCUACAAAGAUUGUCAGAGAUACGGAACAUCUCUCCUAUGACGACAGGUUGAGAGAGUUGUUCAGCCUGAAGAAGACUCUGGAUAGACAUUACUGCAGCUUUUGAAUACUUAAAGGGAGCUUAUAGGAAAGAUGGCAAAAGACUUUUUGUAGAACCUGUAGCAAUAGGACAAGGAGUAAUGUUUUUAAACUAAAAGAGGGUAGAUUCAGACUAGAUGUAGGAAAGAAAUAUUUUAUUAUGAGGGUGGCGAAACACUGAAACAGGUUGCCCAGAGAGG